UGCCCAGCAUCUCCUAUCCUACCUCCUCGUGGUACCAGCCGGACUGCAAGAACCUUAGAGAAGAUCGAGUAGCCAACCCCGGUGCGAACUUUAGUCGUAGGCUGACAGGGAAGA
rnacentral:ribozyme from 1 species